UAUUCUCAGGGCAGGGUGUAAAUCCCGACCGGCGGUAAUCCAGAUUUCUGGGAAGCCCGCGAGCGCCCGACGAUCACACGAUCUUCGGGGUCAGCAGAUCCGGUGAAAUUCCGGGGCCGACGGUAAUAGUCCGGAUGGGAGAGGAUA
rnacentral:ncRNA from 1 species